AAAGACAAGAAGGAAUAAGGACAUAGAGAAAUAGAUGGAUAAACAGGAAGAGAGAAACAGUAGAAAAGAAAGAAUGGAAAGUAAGCCAAGAAAAUGUCAUAGAUAAAGAUAGACAUGAAAAUAAGAUCAAAGAUGUCCCUCAACCAGACCAAAGAGAGGAAAAGAAAGGAAUAAGGACAUAGAGAAAUAGAUGGAUAAACAGAAAGAGAGAAAAAGUAGGAAAGAAAGUAAGAAGGGAAAGCAAGCCAAGAUAAUGUCACAAAACGAACUCGCCCUCAAAAAGAAAAAGAAGAAACAAGACAAAACAGAAAUCUUAUAAUAGGAAGAAUAAGAAGAAAGAAAGAGAAAGAGGAAAAGAAGAACAAGGACGAGAACAAGAAGAGGAAGGAAAAAGAAAACAAAACAAAAAAACAGCAAAAGAAGAAGAAGGUAAAAAAAAGACGAAGACGAACACGAAGAAGAAGAAAAGGAAGAAAAGGAAAAAAAAAAUAAAAGAAGGAAAAAUAAUUAAAAAGUUGAAGUAGAAUUAGAAAAAAAAACAA